rnacentral:rRNA from 1 species
AGUGAACGCUGGCGGUAGGCCUAACACAUGCAAGUCGAACGGCAGCACAGUAAGAGCUUGCUCUUACGGGUGGCGAGUGGCGGACGGGUGAGGAAUACAUCGGAAUCUACUUUUUCGUGGGGGAUAACGUAGGGAAUCUUACGCUAAUACCGCAUACGACCUACGGGUGAAAGCAGGGGUUCUUCGGACCUUGCGCGAUUGAUUGAGCCGAUGUCGGAUUAGCUAGUUGGCGGGGUAAAGGCCCACCAAGGCGACGAUCCGUAGCUGGUAUGAGAGGAUGAUCAGCCGCACUGGAACAGAGACAGGGUGGAGACACCGAGGGGAGGAAGCAGUGGAGAAUAUUGGACAAGGGGGGCAAGGCGGAUACAGCAAUACGGAGUAGGUGAAGAAGGAGUUCGGGUUGGAAAGCGCUGUUGUUGGGAAAGAAAAGCAGCAGGAUAAGACGCCGAUGUUCUGACGGUACCCAAAGAAUAAGCACCGGCUAACUACGUG